rfam:Dipodomys ordii contig_9370, whole genome shotgun sequence.
GGUGGCUCAGUGGUAGAGCACUUGCCUUGCAUGCAUGAGGACCUGGGUUCGAUUCCUUAGCACCA